GAUGAAGAACGUAGCGAAAUGCGAUAAGUAAUGUGAAUUGCAGAAUUCAGUGAAUCAUCGAAUCUUUGAACGCACAUUGCGCCCACUAGUAUUCUGGUGGGCAUGCCUGUUCGAGCGUCAUUUCAACCCUCAAGCCUGGCUUGGUGUUGGGGCCCUGCGCCUGCAGGCCCUUAAAUCCAGUGGCGGACACGCUAGGUCUCCGAGCGCAGUAGUUUCUUCUCGCUUCGGGCGUCCGGCGUGGGCUUGCCUUGCACCAUUUUUCUAAGGUUGACCUCGGAUCAGGUAGGAAUACCCGCUGAACUUAAGCAUAUCAAUAAGCGGAGGA
rnacentral:misc_RNA from 1 species